rnacentral:rRNA from 1 species
GACGAACGCUGGCGGCGUGCCUAAUACAUGCAAGUCGAGCGGACUUUCAAGAAGCUUGCUUUUUGAAAGUUAGCGGCGGACGGGUGAGUAACACGUGGGCAACCUGCCUGCAAGACGGGGAUAACUCCGGGAAACCGGGGCUAAUACCGGAUAAUAUCUUCCUUCGCAUGAAGGAAGGUUGAAAGGCGGCGCAAGCUGCCGCUUGCAGAUGGGCCCGCGGCGCAUUAGCUAGUUGGUGAGGUAACGGCUCACCAAGGCGACGAUGCGUAGCCGACCUGAGAGGGUGAUCGGCCAAACUGGGACGGAGACACGGCCCAGACUCCUACGGGAGGCAGCAGUAGGGAAUCUUCCGCAAUGGACGAAAGUCUGACGGAGCAACGCCGCGGGAGCGAAGAAGGUCUUCGGAUCGUAAAGCUCUGUUGUCAGGGAAGAACAAGUACCGUUCGAACAGGGCGGUACCUUGACGGUACCUGACCAGAAAGCCACGGCUAACUACGUG